rnacentral:rRNA from 1 species
GAUCAUUAUUGAAAUAAACCUGAUGAGUUGUUGCUGGUUCUCUAGGGAGCAUGUGCACAUUUGUCAUUUUUAUAUCUCCACCUGUGCACCUUUUGUAGACCUUGGAUAUCUCUCUGAGUGUUAUAAACACACUCAGGUUUGAGGAUUGAUCUUUUAUGGUCUCUCUUUACAUUUCCAGGUCUAUGUUUCUUCAUAGACUCAAUGUAUGUUAUAGAAUGUAAUAUAUGGGCCUUUGUAGCCUAAUAAACCAAAUACAACUUUCAGCAACGGAUCUCUUGGCUCUCGCAUCGAUGAAGAACGCAGCGAAAUGCGAUAAGUAAUGUGAAUUGCAGAAUUCAGUGAAUCAUCGAAUCUUUGAACGCACCUUGCGCUCCUUGGUAUUCCGAGGAGCAUGCCUGUUUGAGUGUCAUUAAUAUAUCAACCUCUUCAGCUUUUGUUUGUUGAGUGUUGGAUGUGGGGGUUUUUCUUGCUGGCCUUUUGUUGUCAGCUCCCCUAAAAUUCAUUAGCGGAACAAUUUGUGGAAGCGUUCAUUGGUGUGAUAAUUAUCUACGCUAUUGACGUGAAGCAGCAGUUCAGCUUCUAACAGUCCAUUGACUUGGACAAACAAUUUUAUUAAUGUGACCUCAAAUCAGGUAGG